GGCUGAUAGCUCAACUGGUAGAGCACUGCACUGGCAUCGCAGAGGUCAGCGUUCGAGUUGCGUUCAGGCCU
rnacentral:tRNA from 1 species